CCAGAGGUGGCCGAGUGGCUGAAAGCGACGGGCCCAAAAUCCCGUUAUACGGGCUAAAACCUGUAUCGAGGGUUCGAAUCCCUCCCUCUUGC
rnacentral:tRNA from 1 species